rnacentral:rRNA from 1 species
GACGGAGGAUGCAAGUGUUAUCCGGAAUCACUGGGCGUAAAGCGUCUGUAGGUGGUUUAAUAAGUCAACUGUUAAAUCUUGAGGCUCAACCUCAAAAUCGCAGUCGAAACUAUUAGGCUAGAGUAUAGUAGGGGUAAAGGGAAUUUCCAGUGGAGCGGUGAAAUGCGUAGAGAUUGGAAAGAACACCGAUGGCGAAGGCAGCUUGCUACACGGAUAUUGACUCUGAGGCACGAAAGCGUGGGGAUCAAACAGG